CCGCUACACAGUAACAGACCAUCUGUCCUCUGGACCAAAAACAUCUCUUUCCAUGUACAAACUAACCAGCGACAUUUAUUAAACUCGCAACACUGAGAUCAUCCCGUCGUUCCCACGUACCGUUCACGCGGCAGGGACACCGCAGACCUUGUCGUACAGGUCAACUCCCCUCUCAAGAUCGUGUCCUCGAACACGCUUAUCCUUUAACUAAACACACACAGACCGGACUACGGGGGAGGCUCCGAUCAUGCCUUACAAACACAAACUACCCCGUCAGGGGCACAGCGACUCCGCCUCCACUCGCUUACUUUCCAGCCCCCUCCCCGGAGCCGGGAGUCCGCCUGUCAGGGACACCCCUUCACCCCGCCUGGAGGGACUUCCCGGUAGGCUCAGGAACCCCCUCCCUGCUCGCCCUUCCCCCAUCUCCACCACGGCUCUCCCGGAGGUCCAGGUCCGGGAGAUGACAGUGGCUCCCAGGAAGCCCAGGAUUCCAUCGCUGAGAGUGUGCUUAGGCCCCAAGGCCCGCCCAGACCGUUCUACUCACCGUGUCGGAGGCCCAGGCCGACGGCGAUGAGAGUGCAGGGAAGUGGGGAAGAGGGGGUGGCCGCCAGGCUCCCGGGUCCACGGCGGAUUGCUCCCGCUUGUCAGGAGGCGGCCGGCGGGUGAGCGGACUGGCGGAAAUGCGAGAGAGGAGAAGGGAAAGGUGGAGGGCUAAAGGGGGCAAACUGAGGGGAGGCGGGUCCCGCAACCGAGACUGGAAUCGUCUCCCCCUCCGCAAAGCGAACCCAAAAUGGCGGCGGGAGCGGCGGCGGCGGCGGCAGCAGAGCGGCGGCAGCGGCGGCGGCAGCUCCUCCGGAGGGAGGGAGCGAAGGGCGCCUCGCGCCCCCCCACCUCCCACUCCUCCCUCCUCGCGUUCUUCCCCACCGUCCCCCACUCCGCCCGACUCUGGCCGCGUAGCGCGCACGCCUGCCCGCACGCGUACGGGUGUCUCCCGGCUCGUCGCUGGCUGCUCCCACCAACCACCACCUUCGGCCGCCCCGCGCGCCAGCCAGCCCGUACGCGCCCACCCAGGGACACCUCCUCGCGCGGCCCCCCACUCCCCCUCAGGCCCUGUCAAGACGGCUCCGGCGCAGGCCCUCACGCGUACCUUCAGCGGCGCGAGCCCAAGCCUCCUCCUCCUCCUCCACCUCCUCUUCUCUCCUCCCCCCCUUCCCCGCCCCCACGGCCACCAACCGCCGCCACUGCUGCUGCCGCCGCCGCCGCCGCCGCCAGGCCCCCCCACCGUCCGCCCCUCGCGCGUGCGCCUCCCACAAUCCCCCCCGCGAGACUGUUCCAUUCCUGUCAGCUGCAGGGGCAGGAGAGGGAGGGACAGGCAAAGCGGCUCGGGCUUGCCGUUUGACUGGAAUUGCCAGGGUGAUGGGCCGAGCCCCAAGACAACCUACCUCCCUUGACUCGUCGCCGCGGCGGUACGGGUCACCUCCCGCUCCUCCUCUCGGGACCGCGGCUAGCCGGUCAAGGGCUGCCUAGCGCCCCUCUGCCGGCCGGCGGUUGGAGGCCGCGGCGGCUGCGCGUUGAGUCGUUUCCUGCCGGACUGCUCGAGCCUUCUUCGCAGUCGCAAGACUGGCGCCUAGGAGCCGACCCUGGGCGGUGUGUGCCGGUUGCCUUGUCGGAAGAACUAGUCCUCGACUCACGGUGAGGGAAUGGACCGGCGCGGGGUUGUACCGCUGAGAGAAAGGAGCGGGACUCCGAACUUCCCGGAGGUAGGGAGUGAGGUCAGUAGGACCGGUGCGCCUCCCGGGGGGAUUCCUCCGGGGCGCUGAGUUGCCAGCCUGGGACCCGAGGAAGAUCGGCGUGGUGGUCCGCUUUUUGUUGUUGUUAACUCGGCUCGGAUUUCUCGAUUUUCACACCUUUGCCCAUAUGCAAUGUUUGCCUUUGACGCUCCCCAUGGAUGGUACUUCUUCAGCCUCGUUAGACAGCCUGAUGAUAGACGAUGAAGAAUCCAUGUGCUUCUCAUUCAGUUCUGGACUCAGUUUCCCUUGUCUUCCCCCACCAAGUUGUUUUUCUUAGUUCCUUAUCAAAAAGUGUAGAUGAAAAUUAGGCAACUGCAAACACGCCUCCAGGGUUGGUGUGUGAAAUAAUUAAGAUAAUAUAUGUAAAGUGGAAUUAGCUCCUAGGCAUAGGGAAAGUGCAGAGAAUUGCGGUGUUGUCAUUUACAGUUCUGUUGAUGUCGAUAAGGUUUGUGGUUGUAAUUGGUAGUUUGUGUUCUGUUCCUCCAAGUCGUUAAUAAAACAAAGCA